UGAGCAACCUGCCCUUGACCCUGGAAUAACAGCUGGAAACAGCUGCUAAUACCGGAUAUGACCUCCGAUGGCAUCAUCUGGAGGUGGAAAGCUCCGACGGUCAAGGAUGGGCUCGCGGCCUAUCAGCUUGUUGGUGGGUAACGCCUACCAAGGCGACGACGGGUAGCUGGUCUGAGAGGACGACCAGCCACACUGGAACUGAGAUACGGUCCAGACUCUACGGGAGG
rnacentral:rRNA from 1 species